ACCUGGCCAGGACGGUGGGCGGGGUGGUGCCCGACCCAGGGUGGGGCCCGACCCAAUCUUCCUUGGAGGGAGGGAUCCGGGAGUGACUCUGCGGUUCUCUGCUUGGGGCGGAGACCGGGAUGCGUCCUUGUUGAAGACCAGCGGAGUGGUGGACUGGCCGCGCCAUACACUAGCCUCUCCUUCCAGUACCCUGCUGCAGUUCCGGGCUUUGGCACUAGGAGGGUUGUAGGCCCAGUGGCCCCAAAGAAGCCAUUGGGGCGGCAAGGAAGAGGACACUUGUCUAGCCUGGUGUAGGUAAUGCUGUCAGUGACGGCCCUGACUCUGAGGAGGUGGUAGCCUAGGACAGUUCAGUGACACUGAUUCUCUACACCCUGCCUGACCCCUGAGAAAGAGGCACAUCCCUUAACACGCGAGGGAACAUGGGUGUCUCGGUGGGAUCCAUGCUUUGCACCAGCACGGCCUCUGCAGGAGCCCCUCCCGGGCUGGCCAUGGCUGUCCCCUCCACCCCCUCCACGCAGCCUCUAUGGGCCCCCUUUUCAGAAUCCGGACUCACACUCAACCAGACGCUGCUGUUGGACAAGUCACCUAGCCACUCAGCUCCUCUCCUCCUCCGUUGUCAACCUCAACUUUCCUCAACUGUGACCAUCUCCAACGUUCCGGGAAAGCCAGUCCACUUAGAGACAUCUGGGGACAGUGCCCAGGAAAUAAUGGUAUUCAGAGCACUGCCUCAUAGCCAGUCGCUAUGCUUCUUACUGGUUCCUUAAGUCUAGGAUAGGCCUGGGCUCCAAGAUCCUGGCUCUCUCUUACCUGUGAGGCCUCAGGCAAAAGAUGCCUAAGCCAGGAACUUCCUCUGAUGAAUGUGAAACCCAAUAAAAUCUAACAACCAGCCCUCAUCCUGCCUCCGAACUUUUAGAUCCUAAGACCUGACACGCUAUAGGGACUUGGGGAGUGCUUGCAGAAUGAACGCAUGACUUGACAUGUUAGUAUGCAUUUACAUGGUGAUACUGUGUUACACUGCAUAUGUCUGAAUUAAACUUGCCUAUAU